UUUCACAAAGAGGUUUAAACAAACUUUCGUUUGUUCAUUAGUCUUAAGCAACACAUUUAUGGCAGGGGAUGCAUUAAACCUAACAUAUGUCUGUGACCAAGGUAUUUGGUGGUUUUAAAGAUGAAGACACAAAGCCGUGCAUAUAGUUUAUGCGGAGCGGCCUUGAACUACCCGUAAUGGAGUGAGAUACAGUUAUUAUGUAUUAAUGCUGUGAAUCUUCAUCCAGAGAGAGAAAACAAACAGGCGAGAAGGAAUGCAGCAUCUUUGAAGAUAAAGACUUAGAGGGCCCCAUUCUGCAAUUGGUAUUGAGUUUGCAUAAACUCAUUUUGUUGUUGUUGUUGCUGCAUAAUUUUUAAAAUGCAACUGGUUUAAAUCUGUUCCCUGAGGUAAUUUACGCUAAAGCAGCAUUCUAACACCAUAAAUUCCCUGCUUAUGGCAAUCUCUGGUUGGGUGUCAGGUCGGUGUAAGUUACUGAGCAAAUGGCUGCUUCAAAAUUUUUAGGGUAAUUGCCUCUAUAACUCGUUUAGCAUAGGCCUUGUCAGGAAAUCUCUAAUUGUAAUUGAUGCCUCUGCUUCCUUUUCUCCUCCUGCUUUUUAACCACAUUGUUGUACUAAAAGCUUCACUCUCCAGUGCAGAAGAGCAUGGGGCUUUUCAUCUUCUGUAGCACUCGGAUUUUGUUAUUAUUAAAGCCUUCCCUCAUGAAAACGUGAUGUCACCCCCGAUGGGGUCCAGAAGGUGGUGGUUGGUUGGGUGUACCUCUGCCCCAGCCCAAUCUCUACCCUUGCCUAGGAAACCUUCAGUACAGAGAAGGUAGAUCUUGAUGGGGUUGAGAUAAAAUGAAGAGCAAGUUACCACUACUCCAAUUCUAAGUUUUGUAUGAAUGCUGGGUUGGCUGUUGAUUUCUACCAGAAUGGUGUGAGCAAAGUCAACAGCAUAUUUUUCUCUCUUCUCUCAUCUCAUGUGUAUGGGCAUGAUGCCUUGGUAGGAAGGGUAUCAUUGGAAUUGUAUAUUACAAUAUUCAUGGCCAGGAGCUUCUGUUGAUUUGUGUCUACAUACGGGGAUUUUUCAUGAAAUUGCAUAAAGCAUGUAAAGAAUCAACUCCAAAAUCCAAUUUGUUAAUUAUCUUGCUUAAAAUAUACUUCAAUUAUAUCACAUUUGACAUCGUAUGUCAUUGAUAGUAGACGGAAAUAACACUUAAAAUCAAUAAGUGUUUUUAAUUUAUUUUACUUAUUAUGCUUGUCAUAAUAUUUUGACAUGGAGUGCUGACAUGUCAACGAUGCUGUUAUCAGGAGGUAAGGCAAUGGCAUUAAACUGUCUCACCAUCUGUGCUACUGUUUCAGCAUAAAGUGGGCCCAUGGGGAAAAUAUAGCUAAAAUCUCCAAUGAAGUGUCUGCUUAUGAAGUAAAUACAGGUCAUCACUGAAUAAAGCAGCCUGAGCUCAAAACAAAACCUGAGGGAAAAAAAUCCACACUCUAAUCUAUUAUCUUUUCUCCCAAAGGAUUCAACAAUAAGAGCACUAAAAAUAUGCGAGUGCUGUCUGUGUGCCAGACUUGUGAAAAGUGUUCCACAUAUUUUAUCUCAUCUCCUCUAAGAGGUGAGGUACUUGCACAUGGCAAAACCCAGCUCUGAAUGAAAGUCUGUGUGAUUCCAUGCCUGGAUCUAUUCUCAGAAACCAAAGCCAUCACUAUUCUAUAUGGUUUGGAUAGAAAAUGGAUUCUGACUUCUGGAUCCUCUCCUGGCUAUUACAAUCCACAUCGCAGGGGGGUGAGGCACCCCCCGCGAUAUGGGGAGUCAUAGCAACCCCCUCUCCCCCCCUGGCUGUCACAAUCCACAUCGCAGGUGUGUGAGGCAACCCCUGCGAUAUGGGGAGUAAUAGGAACCCCCUCCACCUGCCCCGGCUAUCACGAUCCACAUCUCAGGGGGGUGAGGCACCCCCCGCAAUAAGGGGAGUAAUAGCAACGAUCUCUCCACCCCUAGCUAUUACGAUCCACGGUGGACUCAUAGCCUGUUUACGAUAUUGUCUUUUCUUCCGUUCUGUCCUCCAAAUCGGCCUCUUCCGAGUGUGUUGACCAGGGCCAGCCAGGCAGAAGGCUGGUUUCGCUCAAAGAGGAUCCUCUCGCCCAUCCUGGAACUUCAGGCCUGUUUCGGUUGGACCUGCAGAGAAGCCUUAGGGGCCACUUCGUUCGGCAUCCCAGGGGGCAGGUGCGCGGUACAGGGAAGAAGAGGGUUUGACUGUUGUUCUCAACCCCCGGCACCAAACCUCCACCCUGGUGCGCGCCCCUCCAGGCUCCUGCUGGUCUCAGUCGCCGGUAGUUAGGUCUCCUGUCAGCCUGAGCUCCCGAGACACCCAGCCCCGGAAGGACACGUAGGGGAAACCAGCUACUCACUUCGGUCUUGUCCGCAAGGGAUCCCUUUCUGACGGGAAAGAAAGGCGGCGAGUCCGGUCCUGUUGAGUAAGCGGAAGAGAGAUCAAGGGGAAGAGAAGAAAAAUCCUGUGAGGUUUCAAGAUCUAAAGUUACCAUGAAGUCGACCUAACCUCGUCUGGAGGUCCUCCUGUGGCUGGCGAAGGUGAGUCGAGUCCCCGUCUUCAGUUUGUCAAAGUGGACAAAGCCUACGACAAUGGCCAGUACCAGCUACUAGGCAUUCCCAGUCUUUCCAGUUGGUGGUACUGGAGCUUCCCUACCCAGGAUUUCCGUGGAUUCCAAGGGUACAACUGAACAGCUUUUGUUGUUCCAACUGCUCUUAUUUGAAGAAAGGGCCGAUCUGUUGAGAAGUACAUAGGAAAACCACUUUGGUAAGAGUAGUAUAGCAACUGUUGUUGAGACUGUCACAUUCCCCCCACCUCCUCCUCCCUCCUCCUAGAAAUGUUCAAUGAAAAUUAAUCCCCACGACGGGCCUGUUGUACUUUCAAUGUACAAUUGGCAGAACCUAAGGGAACUCUAGGAGGUUCCGGGAUGAAUAUGGGAAGUAUGACACAGUCAUUUUUAUUUACACAUGCAUUCCAAAAACACAUUGAAUAAACACAUCCAGUUCACCUGUGCCACACUUACAAAGAUGGGAAAAGAGGAACUACAUACAAACAAGUGAAGAUGUAAUUGAAUGGCUUUUAAAUAUCUGCUGAAGGUUUCCACUGAAGGUCUUCUACCAGUGUCUUCUCUUUCUCUAAAAUAAGACAUUCAAGUGCCAGACCCUGAAAUAAGUUUUCUGGUUCCAGCUUGUUCUUUCCCAUUCUGUAUCUUUGCCCCUCCACUCUCUUCUUACAUAUGCAGGAAAGGUCAGCUCUCCCUCAGUUUCUAAUUUGCAACAUCCCACAUGAAGAAUGCAAUGACCAGCAUCAAAAAUUAGACACCCUCCAUGGGACUCCAUCUCUGUCUUAGUUGGAGCUAAUGUACCAUAAACUGGGUAGCUGAUCCACAACAGACAUUUCUCACAGUUCUGGAGUUUGGAAGUCUAAGGUCAAGGUGCCAGCAUGGUAGGGUUAUGGUGAGGAACCUCUUCCUGGUCAUAGACUGCCAUCUUCCUACUGUAUCUGCAGGGGGCUGAAAGAGGCUGAGAGAGCUCUCUAGUGUCCCUUUUAUAGGGGCACUAAUCCCACUCAGGAGGACUCCACCCUCUGGAUCUAAUUACCUCCCAAAGGCCCCUCCUCCUAAUUUUAACACUUUCCAGGGGUGGACAGGGGAAGGUUAGGGUUUCAACCAAGGCAUUUUGGGGGGACACAAAUAUUAGGUCUCCUGUGAUCUUUCAAGAAGAAGAAGAAAUUAUAAAUGACCCAAAGCUUUGUACAUUUCACAGUUAGAAAUAAAGAAAACUUUUCCUAAGA
rnacentral:lncRNA from 1 species